UACAGAGGUCUCAAGCGUUGUUCGGAUUCAUUUGGGCGUAAAGGGUGCGUAGGUGGCGCCGUAAGUCAGGUGUGAAAUUUCGGAGCUUAACUCCGAAACUGCAUUUGAUACUGCGGUGCUUGAGGACUGGAGGAGGAGACUGGAAUUCGACGGUGUAGCAGUGAAAUGCGUAGAUAUCGUGAGGAAGACCCAGUGGCGAAGGCGGGGUCUCUGGACAGUUCCUGACACUGAGGCACGAAGGCUAGGGGAGCAACGGG
rnacentral:rRNA from 1 species